GCUGCAGCGUGACGUAUAAUCUAGUGGACGGAACGGAUCAACAACAGCGAGUCAGCCACCUUGGUAGCCAACAGCCGAAACAUUUAGACUGUUUCUGUGCAUAUUUGCCUCUGUGUUUUAAAUAUACUUCUGACAUCUAGUUAAUUGCCCCCAUUUAAAUGUUAUAGGUACAUUGUUAGUCAACUAGCUGGCUUGAUAAGUUAGCCUAGCACUAAACUAGUCGCUCAUGCUAACUAGCUAGCUAACAUCCCCGAACAUGAGCUCACUGAUGUAUUCCUCGCCUACUAAAGAAGGAUAGGUCUGCUGGACGGAGAAAGAAGCUCUGUGGCUGAACAUUGUCAUGAAAGAGGAGAAGGAAGACGCGUUCAGAGUGAAGGAGGAGGCGUUCAGAGUGAAGGAGGAGGGGGAUGUUACUGUAAAAGAAGAGGAGGAAGAGAAAGAAGAGGAUGCAGUUUUUGGAGUGAAGAAAGGGAGAGAUAACGGUCAUAUUGACAGAGGAGUCAGGAGAUCUGAUUACCACCAGAGAGGGACCAGACUCUCACUCUGACAGCGGGGAGACUCCUUCAAGGGAACCAGACCCAGAGACGCCCAAACCAGCGAGACAACACCACUGUUCCCAGUGUGAAAAGAGUUUUAAGUGGUUAAGGAACCUGAAAGUACAUGAGAGAACGCAUACAGGAGAAAACCCUUACGAAUGCUCCCACUGUGGAAAGAGUUUUACCAAGUUAGGGAACCUAAAAGAGCAUGAGAGGACACACACAAGA